ensembl:misc_RNA
CACCGUUUCAGUGGCAUUUAAAUCCCCGGCGCUCCUCAGUCUAGGUGACGCGCGCUCGCCCCCCCAGGCAGCCCGGGCCUCGGCGGUAGCUGCGGUCGCUGCCAGAGCUGACUUGAAGCGCUGGG